CGACUCUCGACAGCGGAUAUCUAGGCUCUCGCAUCGAUGAAGAACGUAGCAAAAUGCGAUACUUGGUGUGAAUUGCAGAAUCCCGUGAAUCAUCGAGUUUUUGAACGCAAGUUGCGCCCGAAGUCACUAGGCUAAGGGCACGUCUGCCUGGGUGUCACG
rnacentral:rRNA from 1 species